ACGAACGCUGGCGGCGUGCUUAACACAUGCAAGUCGAACGGAAAGGCCCUGCUUUUGUGGGGUGCUCGAGUGGCGAACGGGUGAGUAACACGUGAGUAACCUGCCCUUGACUUUGGGAUAACUUCAGGAAACUGGGGCUAAUACCGGAUAGGAGCUCCUGCUGCAUGGUGGGGGUUGGAAAGUUUCGGCGGUUGGGGAUGGACUCGCGGCUUAUCAGCUUGUUGGGGGGGUAGUGGCUUACCAAGGCUUUGACGGGUAGCCGGCCUGGGAGGGUGACCGGCCACAUUGGGACUGAGAUACGGCCCAGACUCCUACGGGAGGCAGCAGUGGGGAGUAUUGCACAAUGGGCGGAAGCCUGAUGCAGCAACGCCGCGUGCGGGAUGACGGCCUUCGGGUUGUAAACCGCUUUCGCCUGUGACGAAGCGUGAGUGACGGUAAUGGGUAAAGAAGCACCGGCUAACUACGUG
rnacentral:rRNA from 1 species